AAACCAGCCCUCUGCCUAAUUCUUCCUCCAGAACCAAACCCAUGCUCUGCCGUUCGUCUCUCUUCUCUAUGCUCUACCUUCUCCUUCCCCAAAACCCAACACUGAAAAUCAAUCCUGCCAAGAAGCCAUCCCCACACUCUUAGGUCCAAGAUAGAAAGAAGGCAUCACUGAACAAACUACUAUCCCAGCCGUGGCAGAGGGUAUAGCUCCUGUGGUUCUUAAUUUUGCAUCAUAAUUACCUAAGCUUCUUCUCCAAUGUCCUGCUUCAGAAACCUUGGCUUCGCCCUCUGCCAAAUUUAUUUGUUAGUGAUGGUAAAGUUUGUAUAUUUAAUUUCGAUAGAGCCACGGAAGCUUCAGAUUUACAAUAAAAACUUAGGGCUUGCUACUAGCUACUACUGAACUUUAUUUAUUUAUUUAUUUUUACUGAGGACUAAAUAUAUAGAGUUUAGAAGCUGUUUGCAAAUCCCAACAACAGAAAAGUGCAUGAUUUGGAAGUGAAGGAAAAAGGUAGAGAGCUGGAUUUUUUCAUCUUUCAUAUCUAUUUUUGAAACAUAUUUUGUGGGACUUCACCAUGAUCCAAGCUGGUAUAUUGAUUAUUGAAUCUAAUAAGUAGUGGAUCAUUUGUCAUUGUUGUGUUGCCUUUGAAAAGUGGGAGGAUUUGCUUUGGAGGAACAUUGGUUUAUGCGCUUUUUAGUUGCAGUUCAACUAUUUGAAAAAUUACUCUUCUAACUAUGCAUCUUUAUUCAGUUGUAUUUGUGUGUUUUGUGUAUGUUUCUUUCAUUUUUUUAUUUAUGCAUCAUGCAUGGUUGUGUGCAAUGUGAGAUGGCCUAAUUUUACUAAACAAAUUGGUCUUCUAUUUGGUUUAAGAACCCAUGCUGAAUCCAAAUCUAGAAAACUGUUCUUGGUCAUUUAAGAGCCAUAGUUUUUUUUUCCCCCCCAAAACAAAGAGAGUUUGUUAGGUUAUAUGUUUCUUUGUUUAUAAAAUAUUUUCCCCCAUUCCCAUUGGACAAGACUCUUUAUAGAGUUUACUACCUUAUUUCACAAUGAAAUCUUAAUUCUUUUCAGGUCGAAUUGUGAUGAGUCUUUUUGGGAAGGCAGUUCUAAAAACCAUAGCUAUGAUUGUGUAUUAUCUGUUUUGAAAACACUGGAUUAGAUGAUAGAUACAAUACAUCAUCCUUUCAAACUUAAUACAUUAUAUGAUUGUUGACUAUUGCACUCUUCAUUUUGGAUUGCAAAUGCCUAAAAGAGGCCUCAAACUCAGACCCUAUCCUCUCUCUCUAAUCUCAGCCAAAUCCAUCACCACUCUCAAUUUGCUUCUGUCGUUGAUGUUGCAUAAGGAUUUGACCUUUGAUCUGAUGGAGUUCAAGAAAGAUUGGAUUUGUUUGGAUACAACACUUGAGGAGGAAAAGGUUAGUAAAGCAAUGUUAAAAUUUUAUAUUCAUCCCUUCUUUUUAUUUUGCCAUUAUUGCUUGCUCAAUCUCCCUCAUUGAUUAGUUCUAAUAUUCCUUUAUCUUGCUCUAGGAAAAGAAAAUAGUAAAGCUUUUGGGUUUUAUGUGGAUUCCUUAAAAUUAUGACUCUAUGGCUUACUUUUUCUUGAUGACUUCGAUGUAACUAAUGUUGAAUAUUGUAGUCCUUAAUUUUUUUAUGCACAAGUCAUUAAUCAAAUUAAGUUAUAAAGACAUUUUGAAAAUUCCUAAUUAGUCAAAAUACAUUCUUUAGUCAAAUUUUUUUGAAUAUACCUAAUCUGUGCUGAAUAAAAAUUCAGAUUAUCUUGACUUCCUUGGCAUUUGGAUCUUUCUAAUAUUGACAAUAAUAUUAACAAUGCAGCUGAUGCUUAGCCCAAAAGUCAACGGAAUUAUAGUUUUAUUUACCAUCAAGGUCUUCUCCGUAGAUGAAAAUGUAGUUUUAUUUAUAUCGUUGAUGGUUAUGUAGUUUGUUUCUGGUGCUAAAAGUUCUUAAUUCAAUUCCAUAAUUUUGGGCAUGGUUAGUUUUACUUUAUGAUUUUUAGUACUUGGGUUGAAUGCCAUAUAAUGUGCUUAUUUGCGCAUCACAUAGAUAAUAAAGGAAAAGUAAAUAUUGAGGCUCUAUCACGUGAUUGUAGCAUUUGCAUGCAUAUUUCAAAGACGAAUUUUUGUGUCUUAGACCCAAAUUUGAUGUCAGUAAGAUCUUAGAAACACAAAAUUAAUUUGCAUUCAUAAUUUGGAGAUGGAUUUUUGUGUCUUAGAUCCUUACUUAAUAUUUCUAAGAUUUUAAAAGCAUAUCAUUUAGUUUGAAUUUCUAUAUAUGUAUUUGUGUGUAUGUGUGUGUCAGUUACA